rnacentral:misc_RNA from 1 species
UUUCCGUAGGUGAACCUGCGGAAGGAUCAUUACCGAGUGAGGGCCCUCUGGGUCCAACCUCCCACCCGUGUUUAUCGUACCUUGUUGCUUCGGCGGGCCCGCCUCACGGCCGCCGGGGGGCACCCGCCCCCGGGCCCGCGCCCGCCGAAGACACCAUUGAACGCUGUCUGAAGAUUGCAGUCUGAGCAUCUUAGCUAAAUCAGUUAAAACUUUCAACAACGGAUCUCUUGGCUCUC